rnacentral:rRNA from 1 species
GACGAACGCUGGCGGCGUGCCUAAUACAUACAAGUAGAACGCUGAAGGAGGAGCUUGCUCUUCUGGAUGAGUUGCGAACGGGUGAGUAACGCGUAGGUAACCUGCCUGGUAGCGGGGGAUAACUAUUGGAAACGAUAGCUAAUACCGCAUAAUAGUAGAUGUUGCAUGAUAUUUACUUAAAAGGUGCAAUUGCACCACUACCAGAUGGACCUGCGUUGUAUUAGCUAGUUGGUGGGGUAACGGCUCACCAAGGCGACGAUACAUAGCCGACCUGAGAGGGUGAUCGGCCACACUGGGACUGAGACACGGCCCAGACUCCUACGGGAGGCAGCAGUAGGGAAUCUUCGGCAAUGGACGAAAGUCUGACCGAGCAACGCCGCGUGAGUGAAGAAGGGUUUCGGAUCGUAAAGCUCUGUUGUAAGAGAAGAACGAGUGUGAGAGUGGAAAGUUCACACUGUGACGGUAUCUUACCAGAAAGGGACGGCUAACUACGUG